rnacentral:rRNA from 1 species
CGGAAUGAGUACGAUUCGAACCACCUAACGAGGAACGAUCGGAGGGCAAGUCUGGUGCCAGCAGCCGCGGUAAUUCCAGCUCCAAUAGCGUACGUUAAAGUUGCUGCAGUUAAAAAGCUCGUAGUUGAACGUUCGGGUUCCGCGGGACGGGGCCGCCCCGCGAGGGACGGCGCCGCCCCGGGGCUCGUGAUAUCUCAUCUCGCCGCCCGUCGCGAGGCGGACGGAGGGAUGGAUGAGGUUACCUGGAAAAAAUCGGGGCGAUCUAGGCGGGCGAACCUCGCCAACGAACGAUCGGACAUGGGAUAACGGAAGAGGGCGUCGGCUCGACUUCGUCGGUUCCUCGGGCCGAGGCACGUACGGUGAAUAGGGACGGUCGGGGCCGCCCGUACCGGGUCGUGAGAGGUGAAAUUCUAGGAUCGACCCGAGACGAACCGCCGCGAAAGCAUUCGGCAAGGACGCUUUCAUUAAUCAAGAACGAAAGUCGGGGGAUCGAAGACGAUCAGAUACCGUCGUAGUCCCGACCGU